AUUGAACGCUGGCGGAAUGCUUUACACAUGCAAGUCGAGCGGCAGCACGGGGGCAACCCUGGUGGCGAGCGGCGAACGGGUGAGUAAUACAUCGGAACAUGCCCAGUCGUGGGGGAUAACACUUCGAAAGAAGUGCUCAUACCGCAUACGUCCUGAGGGAGAAAGCGGGGGAUCUUCGGACCCCGCGCGAUUGGAGUGGCCGAUGUCAGAUUAGCUAGUUGGUGGGGUAAAGGCCUACCAAGGCAACGAUCUGUAGCUGGUCUGAGAGGAUGAUCAGCCACACUGGGACUGAGACACGGCCCAGACUCCUACGGGAGGCAGCAGUGGGGAAUUUUGGACAAUGGGGGCAACCCUGAUCCAGCCAUUCCGCGUGAGUGAAGAAGGCCUUCGGGUUGUAAAGCUCUUUCGGCAGGAACGAAACGGCGAGCUCUAACAUAGCUUGCUAAUGACGGUACCUGAAGAAGAAGCACCGGCUAACUACGUGCCAGCCGCCGCAGUAACAC
rnacentral:rRNA from 1 species